rnacentral:rRNA from 1 species
UUAUCGAAAAGAUUGUUCCAUUUUUUAAGAAAUUUUCUUUUCUGUCUGCCAAGAAGAAAAAUGAUUUUUCUAAAUUCAUUCAAAUUCUUGAUAUUCUUGUAAGUAAAAAUCCGUAUUCAUUUGAUAAUGUUAUACGCGUUAUGUCGCUUCGAAAUAAAAUGAACGGUGGCGGAAAGCGUAAAUACACAGAUGAACAAAUUAUGGCAAAAUUUAAUGCAUCAAAAACUAAAGAAUCCUCAGAGACUAUACGCCAAACGUGAUUGUGAUAUCAAUCAUGAUGAUAUAGUCCGACCUUCAUGGAGACAUGAAGAGUGAAGCGUAACUUACUUCACCUUUUCUUUCGACACAUCGAUUGAAAGGUAACAUUCAGAACGGUCCUAAGGUAGCGAAGUACCUUGUCGGGUAAGUUCCGACCCGCAUGAAUGGCGUAACGAGUUGGGCGCUGUCUUAAUGAUAUACUCAGUGAAGUUGUAGUACCGGUGAAAAUGCCGGUUACCCGCGACAGGACGGAAAGACCCCGUGCACCUUUACUAUAGCUUGGCAUUGAUUUUUGGAUUGAUCUAUGUAGGAUAGGCGGGAGACUUUGAAACUGAGGCGUCAGCCUUGGUGGAGUCACCCUUGAAAUACCGCCUUUAUCUGUUCGGAAAUCUAACUUCGAAUUCCCGUGAUCCGGGCGAAGGACAUUGUCUGGUGGGUAGUUUGACUGGGGUGGUCGCCUCCUAAAUUGUAACGGAGGCGUUCAAAGGUUCCCUCAUGACGAAUAGAAAUCGUCGGUAGAGCGCAAAAGUAGAAGGGAGCUUGACUGCGAGACAUACAGGUCGAGCAGGUGCGAAAGCAGGAUUUAGUGAUCCAGUGGUCCCGAAUGGAAGGGCCAUUGCUAAACGGAUAAAAGGUACGCCGGGGAUAACAGGCUGAUCUCCUCUAAGAGUCCAUAUCGACGAGGAGGUUUGGCACCUCGAUGUCGGCUCAUCACAUCCUGGAGCUGGAGAAGGUUCCAAGGGUUUGGCUGUUCGCCAAUUAAAGUGGUACGCGAGCUGGGUUCAGAACGUCGCGAGACAGUUCGGUCCUUAUCCGUCGUGGGCGUAGGAUACUUGAAGAGGGCUGUCCCUAGUACGAGAGGACCGGGAUGGGCGAACCUCUGGUGUACCAGUUGUCCCGCUAGGGGCAUCGCUGGGUAGCUACGUUCGGAAAGGAUAACCGCUGAAAGCAUCUAAGCGGGAAGCCCACCAUGAGAUAAGUAUUCCAUUCCGCCUCUGGCGGAGAGAGACCCCAUCAAGACUAGGUGGUUGAUAGGCCGGAAGUGUAAGGAUAGAAAUGUUUUCAGCUUACCGGUACUAACGGUCAAUUGCUUGACCAC